GUGAGCAAGCAGGGGGAAAUGCUGUUGUUCCAGGAUCCCAAAGCUAAUUAGUGGCUGAACGGAGACGAGAACCCCACUUUGCAGAUGCCAGGAAGAAGAGCAUUUGCAGGAUGCUGAAGGGAAGGCCAGAAGGAGCCCCAUAUUGCCUGUGACCAGCUGGCCUUGACCCUAGCGGGAUGCGGCUGGACCCUGACACCUGUGGACCCCUUCCCAGUGCAUGAGAAGUAGACAAUGGGAGCCCUUGUAGACAGAGGCACAGAUUUGAGUGACUUCAAUCCUGUUGUUGUACGGAAGCAUACAAAAAUAUUUGCAAACUGGCAGAAUCCACCUUGAACAAGGCACACAACACUUUAAAAUGAUUCCUCCAGAUCACUGCAAAGGAACUGUGGAGAGGACUCUUCUGCCAAAAAAAAAAAAAAAAAGUGAGGAAAUAGAAAAAAAGAAUCAAAUGUAAGGAAGAAAUUUUACGAGAAAUGAGCAAAGGUGCCAGUCUGACAUUGCCUGGUGAAAUUAACAGGGCAGUGUUUGAAGCCUGAGUCACUUUCUCCAGGAACUGGACCAGAACACAACGGCUCAGGUAAAAGUAAACUUCACGGUAUAUCAAGUAUACUUCAAUUUUAAAAGGAGAGAAAACUUUAAAAAUUAAAAUGAAUGAAAAAUAUUCCUCAGUGAACCAUGAGACACACUGACAAAUCUGGCGAUGCUGCCUAUUGAAUGGGACUAUCUGGGACCGAUUUUGAUGAAAUCACUGACAAAUUUGCAGAAGUCUCAAAGACAAAAACUGUGAUGUUCUAUUUGUUCCCAACAUAUAGGCAAAAAGUUCUCCCUUUUCUUAAAAAAAAAAACUAAUUUAAAAGUAUUUACUCUUUCCCCUUAAAAAUGUACUAUUUAUUUACUAAUUGAUUCAUGUAUGUAUUUAAGUGCCAUGAUCAUGUAUGUGAAGUAUAAUAAAAGAAAAAAUUCA